rnacentral:rRNA from 1 species
CUGAGAGGUUGAACGGCCACAUUGGGACUGAGACACGGCCCAGUACUCCUACGGGAGGCAGCAGUGGGGGAUAUUGCGCAAUUGGGGGCAACCCUGACGCAGCAACGCCGCGUGAAGGAUGAAGGUUUUCGGAUUGUAAACUCUUUUAUUAAGGACGCAAAAAUGACGGUACUUAAUGAAUAAGCUCCGGCUAACUACGUGCCAGC